GCGCCCGUAGCUCAACUGGAUAGAGUGACAGGCUUCGAACCUGGAGGUUGGGAGUUCGAGUCUCCCCGGGCGCGCAA
rnacentral:tRNA from 1 species